GUUGCUGCUCUUCCUCUAGCUAACGGUUGUCGUUGCUAUGAAGAACUUUGCAAUUUGUGUUCAAUUUCGUUAAGAAGGUCUAGGGUUUGGCAAUUUCUAGUCAAUUAGGGUUAGUGUUUGGCAAUUUCUCCUAAUUUUCAUUUUUUAUGAGUAAUGCGAAUUUUUUAAUUUCCUACUUUUUACAAUUUUUUUUAAUAAUGUGAAUAUUUUUUGUUUUAUAGUUUUUACAAAUUUUUAUUUUUU
rnacentral:lncRNA from 1 species